GACUGUACAAAGGUAGCAUAAUCAAUUGGUUUUUAAUUGAAAUCUGGAAUGAAAGGAUUAAUGAAAUAUAUACUGUCUCAUAAUUAUUUUAUGAAUUUAAAUUUUUAAUUAAAAUGUUUAAAUUUAUUUAUGGGACGAUAAGACCCUAUAGAAUUUUAUAUUAAAUUAUUUUUAUAUUAAAUUUAAAAUUUAAUUUAAUAUUUAAUUGGGAGAAUUAUUAAAUUUAAUAAAUUUUAAUUUUUAUAAACUUUAAUUUAAGGAUAGAUAAUGAUUUUGAAUUUUAAUUUAUUAGAAUAAAUUACCUUAGGGAUAACAGCGUAAUAUUUUUUUAUAGAUCAUAUAGAAAAAAAUGAUUGCGACCUCGAUGUUGAAUUAAGAUAAAUUUUAAA
rnacentral:rRNA from 1 species